CUGACAGCAGGGUUCAUAUGAGCAAGCAGAUCCCUGGAAAGCUGGAAAAUUCAAAUCUUUAUUUCAAUCUUUUUUCAUGUUGCUAAACAUACAAAGAGUAACACCGUGUCAAGAAGCCGAUGUAUUCUUACAAAGAAACAGUUUUGUGUAAGAAUCACUUCAAACAGCAAAAAACUUUAUUGAACAAAACUGAUGAACAAAUGAGAAGAGCAGCACAGCAAGACGACGUUAAAGACACACUUGUGAAAUAGUCUUGCCCUGACAAGCUACACAUUUGCCUCAAAAAGGAAAAAUGUUUGACAGUGUUUCCAUGUCACAGUUCCAGAUGCCUGGUUUGAUCCUGAGCUCGAGUUACGCUCGCUGGCCGUGGUGUGAAAAUUCUUCAUGCAGAUGCUCAUCUAAGUUUCCAAAUCUGUCAUUGCUUCACUAUUGAAUAUGUUCUACUGUCAAUACUAUUAUUAAAAAGCUUAUAAUCUCUGCUUUCCAAAGAAAUGUAUCUGGUGAAGAUCUGUUCAGUACUUUGGGAGUAAUGGCAGGUUGAAGUUGGUACAACAGAGUAAACUCUCUGCUUGCGUGAUGUUGGAAAACUGCCGGUGCUUUUCUUUUGGAGUUACGGGAAAGCAGUCAUGCUCUCUCUCUCUCUCUCUCUCUUCUGAUCGGUUUCCAACUGGAUUACUCAUGAAUAUCAACCAGAUAACUUUUAUAGUGCCCUGCGAUGGACUGGCAUCCCUAACAGAGUGUAUUCCCAUCAUGACCCCAGUGUUAUUGGGAGAUGGUGGAUGGUGUCCACGCAUCCAUCAUAACUCUAAAAAACGAGAAACCAGUUCCUGAAGGUAUUUCAGUGAAAGACAGGAGUCACAAAUUUAUUUACAGCAACUGGAGAGAAGCAUCAACAGGAAUCAGAAGUGUUUGCUCUCAACAAGACACAUCUUGGUGCAGCGGUUGGCAUCUUUAACGUUCAUGCUCAAAGUUAAAAUAAACAAUAAAAUACAUU